AUGAAGGCGCGUCCUUCUCGUUACGUCAUCAGCGCGAGCCCCAGACCGAGUGGAUCGAUCGAAAUGGAGGAGCAGAGACAUGCGGGUGAUGGAUCACAGAGUAAUCUAAGCCCAGACCAGUUGUGGGAAAUUGGACUCCUGCAAAACCCUGUCACUCCUCCAGUCCUAUCUGAGAUUGCACAAGACGGCGACUGGGACACAGACAGUAUCUCUGACCAGCCGUGGACAGGAAUUGUAGUUCCUCCAGUCGAAUGCCCCUUACUGAAGAACUUAAGGCCCAAAUUCAAACUUUUUUUAACCCAACCUCACACUCUCAAAACUAUGGAAGAGACCAUUAUUUAGUUUUAAAUUUUGUGCUGCUUCAUUCUUAAUUGACACUAAAUCAAUCAUUGAAAUGACUUGUUACCAAAUGAUACAUUUACAAGCAAAUUAACAUCCAAGUCAAUAAAAAACAAAUUUAAGGUGACAUUACAUGCUUGUUUUAUUUUCUGUAUUGGCUAUAUUUAAAGCAGAAAAUGGCUAGUAUAACAACUUGUGUUCUCUUAACACAUUCAUUAAGAUAUACAAUUUUACAUUAUGUAACACGUUGUGUUCUCUACACAUACACAGUAAAUUUCAAAACCAUAAGAACAUUUACCAAUGUAUAAAAGUUUUUAUUUUCCUGAACAUGUACAAUUCCAUACCUUUAGUAUAAUUUUAAAUUCAGUUUAAACCGUUGUCAAAUUGAAUGGCUUGGAUGGGGUUGAUAUUGUCUGAAUUAAAUCAAUUACAUUUUAACAUUAAUUUGUGGGGUUUUUUUUACAAUAUUUAUACUAAAUCAACUCUGUCAGUUCAUACAUAACACAGCUUUCAAUUUCUUGGAGAAAGUCUUGCAGAAAGUUGAUUAUAGCGGUUUCAUAAGUCUCUUGUACUGAUCCCUUCUCCGACAUUUUCGGAAGAAUGUUCUGCAUGAUGAAGUCUGCAUCAGCCUGUGGGAAAAAAAGAAAAACAAUCAUCCAUUUUCAGGUACAUAUGCACAUGCAAAAAAGCUACUUUAUUACCAUUUUCUACUAUUAUUUUUUUUGUAAGGAACAAGUGUUUGACAAUUAUUCUUUAAAUUGGCAAAUAAUAAUUUUCCUAUCUAUAACAUUCCUAAAAUGAAAUACAAGAUAUAGGCAUAUUUUUUUUUUUUCCAGUUACUGAUACCUUAUCAUCAUCAUCCACCACAUCAGGGAAAAAGAACUGGUGGCAAAGUCCUGAAUGGUUUUCCAGGAUUGGAGAGUUCAAGACCUGUUCAGAUUUGCUUCAACAAAGGGACCAAACGUAGAGUUGCAUGAAGCACAAUUGAUCUGGAAAAAGAACCAGAAAAUUAUUGCAUAAUAUAGACAGUGUUGUGGCUAAUCCAUAUAUCUGGUAGGCAGCAAAAUUAAAACCGUUUGCAAGGUUUCAAAUGUAAAGAAGUUAGAAGACUUUUUCUGACCUUAUUAUGGCCUCUUUGUUCUCAGGUUUAACGGCCCCAAUAAAACCACAGUUAAUAAUUUGAUCAUACCAUGCAGAGUGAUCAGUUUCUUCUUCCUCCACCUGAAAAAACAUAAAUAUGUAAACUGUGCGUAGAAAUAAAGGUUUUAUGAAUUUGAAGCAGGAGGCUGCUGCUGCUGACCCUGAGCUGACUGAAUCUGACCAAGGCUUUGGGUCAGAAGACCUAUUCAAUUCUGUGCAGCUGUACAGACAUCAGAAUAUUCUCUCUGUUAAAUAGGUCAUCACAACAUCAUAUAGGAUUAUCUGGAUCAGGUGUUUUAAGCCACAGCUCUGCACAGUUUAGCUCAAACCCCAAUCAAACACAUCUGAUUCAGCUAAUCAAGAUCUUCAGGAUUACUAGAAACCUCCAAAAAGGUGUGGGUUGGAGCUGGUUUGAGCUAAACUGUGCAGAGCUGUGGCCCUCCAGGAAUUGAGUUUCACACAACUGAUCUAGAAUAAGUGCAUUAACAAUGUAUCAUAAACAUCACAGCUUUUAAACAUAGUCUAUAGGGAUGUGACCUACUGUAUAUAAAUAAACUUGUUCGGAAUCAAAAAGAGGUUUAUUUCAAAUUAUGUUUACACAUACAAGGCAUUUGUUUUGUAUUUGUUUUUUGUUUACAGUAUAUUUUGAGAGACACCUUUGGCAUCGUUUAUAGUCCAUAAUACAACUAGGGCGUGGAGAAUAAUAAUUAUUAUUUAUUAAUUAUAAAACAACGUGAAAGGUGUGCAUAUUGAGAGAAAUGUACAGCCGCCGACGCAACCCGCAUUAAUUGAUCUCUAACUUACUUAACUUGAGCAAACGCGUUGAUACACAUAGUUACAUAUAGUUAUCGGUCUAUCUAGCGAACUUGAAGAAAGCGAUCAAUAACACAUACCUGUGAUCCAUCACCCGCAUGUCUCUGCUCCUCCAUUUCGAUCGAUCCACUCGGUCUGGGGCUCGCGCUGAUGACGUAACGAGAAGGACGCGCCUUCAUCCCUUGUACACACCUCAACCUCUUGACCCCUCCCCCACGUCAAAUCAGGGACACAAAGCGAGGCGCAAAGAAAAAAUGAAGCGCAAAGGAAAGCUUGCACCGCAGAGGCACGGAUGACUGAAACGCGGAUUUAAAGGAGCAGCGCAAAGGGAAAUGUGUUGCAAAGUCAUUGCUGUUGAAGUUUUACUUUGCUAAACUUAAUUUUUUCUCUUGUGGUAAACUUUUCUUUUGCAAUUAUUUUUUUUUACUUGCAAAAAAGCAAUUUUUUUCUCAAUACUCUAUUUUUAUUUGCAAAACAUAUUUUUUUUAUUUGCAAAACAUAUUUUUUGUUUGCAAAACAUUGUUUUAUUUUGCAGAUAUAUAUGGCCCUAUUUUGACUCGAUACUGAACCCCUCAAAACUAAUUAG
ensembl:lncRNA